UCUCCGUAGGUGAACCUGCGGAGGGAUCAUUACCGAGUGAGGGGGCUCACGCCCUCGACCUCCCAACCCUUUGUCUAACCAACUCUGUUGCCUCGGGGGCGACCCGGCCGCGCGUCGGGCGCCCCCAGAGGGCCAAUCAAACUCUGCAUCUUUGCGUCGGAGAAUUGAAAGCAAAUCAAUCAAAACUUUUAACAACGGAUCUCUUGGUUCUGGCAUCGAUGAAGAACGCAGC
rnacentral:misc_RNA from 1 species